UUUUUACUUUAUUCUGAAUUAUUAACUACUAAAUUUAAAAAAAUAUCAAUAAUUACUCCUUACUUUUAUUUAAAAUUUUUAAAUUUAUCAUGAAAUUACCAAAAUAUUUUUUAAAAUUCCAAUUCUCAUUAGUAAAUUCUAGGUAUUUGAAAAUAUUUGAAAAUUCUUUUGAAAAUCAAUAAGAGUAUUUUGGUCAAUGAGAAAUAUAUUAAAUAUUUUUAAAGUUCUGAAAAUUAUAUUAAAUAUUAUGUCUAAUAUAGUAAUAUUAUCUAUCUAUAUCUAUACAUUGUUCUCCCUAAAUUUACCAUAUCGUAACAUUCACUUCAAUUUUGAGUGUGGGCUCCACCUCAAACCGGUUCAAGUUUUCUACAUAUUUUUCUCUUUUUUUACUUCAACCAAAUCGAAUUUUUCUCUUUUUUUCUUUGAACAGAAUCAAUAAUCAUUGUUGAGUUUGGGCUCUCCCAAACCCGUUUAAACUUUUCACAUUUUUUUCUCUUUCUUUGCUUGAACCAAAUCUGAAUUAUUAACUACUAAAUUUAAAAAAAAUAUCAAUAAUUACUCCAUACUUUUAUUUAAAAUUUUUAAAUUUAUCAUGAAAUUACCAAAAUAUUUUUUUAAAUUCCAAUUCUCAUUAGUAAAUUCUAGGUAUUUGAAAAUAUUUGAAAAUUCUUUUGAAAAUCAAUAAGAGUAUUUUGGCCAAUGAAAAAUAUAUUAGAUAUUUUUAAAGUUCUGAAAAUUACAUUAAAUAUUAUGUCUAAUAUAGUAAUAUGACUUGAGCUAGAAUACUAUCGAUAGCAAACGGGCUCCGUUGCCACCCAUUUGUUUUCGAUGAUGGAGCCUCCAAAUCGAUGAUCGGCACCGUUGAAUAUGAUCGAUACCACUUGAAGUAUCUAGAAAUCAAAUCUCAUGCUUUUUCGAUAUUGUUCUCUUAUCCCUCAAGUGAGCGUAAAAAUGAACGGCUGAAAAUGAAUAUCCUCUAAAAAGUGAUAAUAGAAAUUUUGUAAUCAAGAUCGAAAGUAUAGAUCUUAUUCUAAAUAGUUUAAAGAAUUUUCUAACCAAAAUUCAAUUGAUUUGGAUAGCUUUACACCGUUAAACAAGAAAUUGUCUCAUAUCUACCAUUAAAAUUACAAAUUUUAAAACCCUUUGAUCAUUAGGUCAAUGAUGUCGAAAUGAUUUGAAAUUUGGUUUCUAGAUAUUUCAAGUGGUAUAGAUCAUAUUCAACGGUACCGAUCGUCAAUUUAUAAGCUCCAUCAUCGAAAACAAAUGGGUGGCAACGGAGUUGGUUUGCUACCGAUAGCAUUCCAGCUCAACUCAUAGUAAUAUUAUCUAUCUAUAUCUAUACACUCAUCUUCCUAAAUUUACCAUAUCGUAACAUUCACUUCAAUUUUGAGUGUGGGCUCCACCUCAAACCGGUUCAAGUUUUCUACAUAUUUUUCUCUGUUUUUGCUUCAACAAAAUCGAAUUUUUCUCUUUUUUUUUCUGAACAGAAUCAAUAAUCAUUGUUGAGUUUGGGCUCUCCCAAACCCGUUUAAACUUUUCACAUUUUUUUCUCUUUCUUUGCUUGAACCAAAUCUGAUUUCAUCUUUUUUUACUUGAACCAAACUGGUCAACCUGUUGCAUCGGGCCGAACCUGCCCAUCUAGUCCACAUGUUCCCAUCUUUGAACAGAAUUUUUUUCUUUCUUUAUUUGAACCGAACAGAUCACUGUUGCGAGUGCGGACUUCACUCCGAACUAGCUCAAGUUUUUCUUAUUUUUGCUUGAACCAAACCAAAUUUUGUUUGCUUGAAUAGAAUCGGGUCGCACUUCUGUAUUGGCCGUAAUUGUUCAUCUUUCUUUUUCUUCUAAUGGUAUCUUUUAUUAUUGACAGUAUAAACCCCAUCUCUCAUCAUUAUUUUUUUUAUUACCGUUUUCUAUUUCUUUAUCGCCGUUUUUUAUUUUAUUUUCUAUUAUUUAUCCGUAUCCGUCUUAUCGUACGAAUUGCUAUACUAAUUUUUAUAUAUUAUUUGACCUAAAUUUUAAAACAGCAUAAUUUAUUACAUAAAAAAAAAAAAAAAAUAUCGCGUGCAAAAAGGUGAAAGUCAUCUCGACCGUCGGAUUCAUCUUCGUAUGCGGACUGUCAUGUCAUGACGGGUGGGGACCGCAAUAUUUCUGCCAGCUGGCCGGACCGUGUUUCGAUUCCCGCGUUCGACACGUGGAUGCCAGCUCGGAGUAAUCCCGCCCAAAAACGACGACGACGACUCCGCCAGCCGGCUCAACCCAAUCGCGUUCUACGUACGUCUUCUCCUUUUCUUCAUCCCCCCGCCCAAAAAUUGCAGUUAAAAAAUAAUAAUAAUAAUAAUAAUAAUAAUAAUAAUAAUAAUAAAAGAAAAGGCUGUACUGCUAUGUGUUAACUGUAGCCCGUGUUGUAAUUAAUUAUCUUAAAAACCAAAUAUAAUAUCUUAAAAACCAAAUAUAAAUUAUUAUCUACUAAACUUUAAAAAUUCUAAGUAUUUUUUAAAAAUUCUAAGUAUUACCUUACUUUUAUUUAAAAUUUUUAAAUUUAUUCUGAAAUUAUCAAAAUAUCUUUUUAAAUCCCAAUUCUCAUUAGUAAAUUCUAAGUAUUUGAAAAUAUUUAAAAAUUAUAUUAAUUAUUAUGCCUAAUAUUAUUUAUCUAUAUCUAUACAUUGUUCCCCCUAAAUUUACCACAUCGUAACAUUCACUUCAAUUUUGAGUGUGGGCUCCAUCUUGAACCGGUUCAAGUCAUCUACAUAUUUUUCUCUUUUUUUGUUUGAACCGAAUCGAAUUUUUCUCUUUUUUUGUUAGAACAGAAUUAAUAAUCAUCGUUGAGUUUGAGCUCUCCCAAACCAGUUCAAAAUUUUCACAUUUUUUCUUUUGUUUUUGCUUGAACCAAAUUCGGUUUCAUCUUUCUUUACUUGAACUAAAUCGGUCAACCUGUUGCAUCGGGCCGAACCUGCCCAACUAGUCCACAUGUUUCCAUCUUUGAACAGAAUAUUUCUCUUUCUAGAUUUGAACCAAACAGAUCACUGUCAAGUAUAGACUUCAUUCUGAAGUUUUUCUUCUAUUUGCUUGAACCGAACCAAAUUUUUUUUGCUUGAACAGAACCGGAUCACACUUCUGCACUGGGCAUAGCUGUUCCUCUUCCUUUUUCUUUUACUGUUAUCUUUUUUUUAUUGAUAAGAUAAAUCUCACCCCUUAUAGUCUCUUCUUUCAUUACUAUUAUUUUUUUUUUGUCACCGUUUUUUAUUUUCUCUCCUAUCUUCUAUCGAUCGCAUAUAUAUGCAUUACUAUAUUAAUUUAUUUAUACAUUAUUUGACCUAAAUUUUAAAAAAUUAUAAUAACCGCAAAAAAAAAAAAAACAAA
rnacentral:lncRNA from 1 species